rnacentral:lncRNA from 1 species
GUGUGUGUGUGUGUGCGCGCGCGCGCGCGCGCGUGCGCGAGUGCACAUGCACGUGUUGUGUUGUGUUUCCUCCAUAAGAAAUUCUUUUCCUGGAUUUGUGAUCCCUGUGGAACAUUAAGAACCUCUCCGAUUGAAUCUCAGGUAGUAAAGCCGGCAGCCACUCCACGUAGCUCUUUCAGAAAGGCUGUGUGCCUGAUUCCUUGAUGCAUCAAGGCUUUUAGGCUACUUGGCUGUGUUUGUGUCUGCUCAGCGCACAGAAGUCUGUGCUAAAGAGAACUUUCUGUCUGGCAGAGUGCCCUGCUCAUUCGUCUUGGGGUGACUAUGCCAUUCUGAGGAGGUGGCACGGGGCUAUCCAUCCUCCCUGGGGAACAGAGCGGAAUCAUUUAGCAGACACUGGGGUUUCUGGAAUUGUCCUUAUAGCAUGGAGACAGCAUGCCAAUCAGUAUUUGAAUAUUUCAGGGAGGAACCGGAGGUAUGAAUGACAACUGUUUGAGAAGAAGGUCCCAAAUCCCUCUCUUAAAACCUUGGGAUUGUGCUUGAGACUCAGCCCCGAUGUGUUCCGUGGUGAGUCACUCACCUGGUUUACCCACACUGUAUGCUCCCCCUACCUGCCCCUACCUUGUCAUAAGUGCUGAGGAUUGAACCCAUGGCCUCGUUGCAUGUCAGGUGCUGGGAACAUUAAAUCUUCAUGUCUGGAGGACAAGAAAACUAAAAGUACUCAUUGUUCAGUAGCCACUGAGGCUGAUGGGAGGCGGGACUGUGGAUUCACGUGGCUGACGAUGACUGGUCUUCCUGGCCAUAUUACUUUCUCUUUCUUUUAUCAAGUACAGACAUGGCGCCUGCCUGGAGUGGUGGUUUGAAGGCAGCAAUGUGCCCAGUGUUCAUUUUCCCAAUGUUGACGGUUGUGCUGUGGUUUUACUGAAGAAUGCCCCUUGAAGGGAUGCUGUGUAACCAACCAGCCACCUCGUGCUUCUGCCACUGUUGCUUCCCCACUGUGAUAGACUGUGCACACUCAAACUGCAAGCCAAAAUAAACCCCACCCUCCUUA